rnacentral:rRNA from 1 species
GUGUCAGCAGCCGCGGUAAUACAGAGGUCUCAACCGUUGUUCGGAUUCAUUGGGCGUAAAGGGUGCGUAGGCGGUCGCGCAAGUCGGAUGUGAAAUCUCGGGGCUCAACCCCGAAACUGCAUUCGAUACUGCGUGGCUCGAGUACUGGAGAGGAGACUGGAAUUUACGGUGUAGCAGUGAAAUGCGUAGAUAUCGUAAGGAAGACCAGUGGCGAAGGCGAGUCUCUGGACAGUUACUGACGCUGAGGCACGAAGGCCAGGGGAGCAAACGGGAUUAGAAACCCUGGUAGUCC